rnacentral:rRNA from 1 species
UACGGAGGGUGCAAGCGUUGUCCGGAAUCACUGGGCGUAAAGGGCGCGUAGGCGGCUCGGUAAGUAGGGGGUGAAAUCCUGCGGCUUAACCGCAGGGCUGCCUUCUAAACUGUCGAGCUUGAGCACGGUAGAGGCAGAUGGAAUUCCUGGUGUAGCGGUGAAAUGCGCAGAUAUCAGGAGGAACACCAAUGGCGAAGGCAGCUCGCUGGGACGUGACUGACGCUGAGACGCGAAAGCGUGGGGAGCAAACAGG